AGGGCUGGACACGGCCCCCUGCUGGGCCUAGGCCGUGCGUGUCCUCCUCCUCUGUGAGCGUGGCCCUGACCCGGUGGCAGGAUCGUGUGGUUUCGCACCUGAUGCUGGCCAGGCACAGGGUACACGGCCUCUCACGGCAACACCAGGUUUGUGCCUGCAGCCCACCAGCCCGUCUCCCCUCCCAGCGUGUGCUCUCUCCCGACCCCACAGCUCUUCUGUGCAGAUGGCGAGUACAACUCCAUGGCUGCCGCCUUCUUCAACACCCCAGAGAAGAGCGUGGUGAGCCUCUUCCACGACCCGCCAGGCUCCUACAACCCCCUGACCCUCGGCCUGUUCACGCUGGUCUACUUCUUCCUGGCCUGCUGGACCUACGGGCUCACGGUGUCUGCCGGGGUCUUCAUCCCGUCCCUGCUCAUCGGGGCUGCCUGGGGCCGGCUCUUUGGGAUCUCCCUGUCCUACCUCACGGGGGCGGCGGUGAGUGGGGCCGGAGGGGAGGCUGUGGGGCCCUGCAGCUGAGCCUGGUCUUGCGGCAUCGCGGGCUGGAGCAGAAGUCCCGGGGCAGGACAAAAGUGUUGCACCUCGCGUGGUUCACGGGCCGUGGGCGUUGUCCUGCUGUGGUGGCAGCACAUGUACUGUGGCAGCGCAGCCCGUGUGGAGUCUGGAGCAGGUGAAGGUAGGGGGUGGAGGCUCAUGUCCUCAUUUUUGAGAAUGUGAUAAAAAGCAUAGGUGAUUCUGGGCUGCUGCAGAGCUGUUUCUACACUCCAUGGGGUGGAUGCCUGGCCAGGGCUGCUCUCUGUGAGGCCAGGGGCCAGAGCGGCAUACGCUGCCCUCCAGACCUCAGCCCCCACAGGCCUUCCUUCUCUGCCUGCCUCCGCUGGGACUGGGUUCCCUUGUAUGUCCUCUGUUUCUCAUUUUAGUCGCUUAAAUAAGACUGAAAGCCUGUAAGAGGCCCUGGCAGGAAGCCCCCGGCCAUGCUCCUCAGCCCCGGCGGGAAGCGUCCACUGCUGCUCCCCAGGCCCGUGUGCUCUGCCCAUCUCCCUCCACACAAGGGUUUGGUUUGGUUUGAUUUUUAAAAUUGAAACAUGAUUCAAACACCGUAAAACUCAUCGUUUUAAAGAGGACAAUUCAGCGGCGUUUCUCACGUUCACGAGGCAGUGCGGCCGUCACCACCGCUUCUGGAAUGUCCGUCAUCCCAGAAUGGAAGCCCUGUGCCCACCGACACUCGUGCCCCGCUUUCUGUGGCCUCCGUGCCUGGGUUCUGUGGCCGAGCCUAAUGUUCCCGGGGCUCUCUGUGUCCUGUGUGCUGGAGUUUCACUCCUCACGCUGGGCGGCGCUCCCUAGUUGGCCUGGGCUGCUGCAUGGUGACUGUGCCCUCUGCACCCUCCAUGCCUGCCACUCCCCUGUUGCUCAGGUGCCGAGCGCCUGGUUCAGGCUGAAGGCGCAGCCUCCGCAGCAGGGUGUACUGUGCUGGGUCAUUCUGUGUGGGGGCCUGGGCAGGGCCUCCUCCGUCUGUGUAUCUUGGUGGGUUUGGGCCUGCCACCACACUGACACCUACUCCCUGUCGCCUCCCGCAGAUCUGGGCGGACCCCGGCAAAUACGCCCUGAUGGGAGCUGCUGCCCAGCUGGGCGGCAUCGUGCGGAUGACCCUGAGCCUGACGGUCAUCAUGAUGGAGGCCACCAGCAACGUGACGUACGGCUUUCCCAUCAUGCUGGUGCUCAUGACCGCCAAGAUCGUGGGCGACGUCUUCAUCGAGGGCCUGUACGACAUGCACAUUCAGCUGCAGAGUGUGCCCUUCCUGCACUGGGAGGCCCCGGUCACCUCGCACUCGCUCACUGCCAGGGAGGUGAUGAGCACACCAGUGACCUGCCUGAGGCGGCGUGAGAAGGUCGGCGUCAUUGUGGACGUGCUGAGCGACACGGCGUCCAAUCACAACGGCUUCCCUGUGGUGGAGCAUGCCGAUGACACCCAGCCUGCCCGGCUCCAGGGCCUGAUCCUGCGCUCCCAGCUCAUCGUUCUCCUAAAGCACAAGGUGUUUGUGGAGCGGUCCAACAUGGGCCUGGUGCAGCGGCGCCUGAGGCUGAAGGACUUCCGCGAUGCCUACCCGCGCUUCCCGCCCAUCCAGUCCAUCCACGUGUCCCAGGACGAGCGGGAGUGCACCAUGGACCUCUCCGAGUUCAUGAACCCCUCCCCUUACACGGUGCCCCAGGAGGCGUCGCUCCCACGGGUGUUCAAGCUGUUCCGGGCCCUGGGCCUGCGGCACCUGGUGGUGGUGGACAACCGCAAUCAGGUUGUCGGGUUGGUGACCAGGAAGGACCUCGCCAGGUACCGCCUGGGAAAGGGAGGCUUGGAGGAGCUCUCGCUGGCCCAGACGUGAGGCCCAGCCCUGCCCAUGGUGGGCACCGGCGCUGGCACCCCGGCCCUUCUGCACUUCCUCCCGGAGUCACUGGUUUCUCGGCCCAAACCGUGCUCCCCAGCAGUGGCAAUGGCGAGCACCCUGCAGCUGGGCGGGCAGGCGGCAGGCGCGGAACUGACCCUCUCGCGGGACUGGCCCUGUUGUGGGCAGUGGUCUCCCCCCUUGGCGCCUCCUUGCGCAGGCCCAACCUUUGCUCUCCUCGUCUAGGUUUCUUUACCUCCAGGGAUCAGCUGUGUGUGUGUGACCUCCCUACCGGGCUGUCGGCCUCUUGGGAGCCAGCGGCAGGGCCGGCACCUGCGUGCCUGUACCCGUGUGCGUGAGACAGAGCCCUCGACCCUGCUGCUGCCUCGAGGGCUGCCCUGCCCUGGAAGGGCUCUUCUGCCUCCACACCAGUGGAGUCUUCGAGAUUUGGGAGCUGCUUGGCCUCAUUUUCAGCCAUGAGCAGAUGGCCUGUGGUCCCUGGGCCUGAGCCACGGACUCGUAGCACCAGGGUUUGGAGGCUGGGACCGCCCCGGAGAGCAACUUCACAGUGGCGCCACAGAGGAGCCCCACAUGCACUCCCCGGCCUGCAUCCGGCUUGGGUACACGGGCCCAGAGGACUGGGUGACGGGCCCUGUGCUGCGAUGUUGAGAACUGAGGAAAACCUCCAAGGCCCUGAGCCCCAUGCCCAGCCCUGCCUUGGUGCCCCAACCCCUAGAGCUUGGAGUCUGGGCCCCACACCCAUCCCUGCCUUGGUCCCUGAGCCUCAGAGCAUGGAGUCGCUGCCCUGUGGACACUGGCUGGGAAGGCAGGUCUUCCCCUAGCACAUGGGGACCCCGGCCUCCGGGGUGACCUCCCUACCCCGCCCCUGCCAGCCGCCAAGUGCAAGUGCAGCCGGGGCCGCACUCCUGCCGGCCUCAGAGGACACCUGGCCCAGCACAGGUGGCUAGAAGGGCCGGUGGGCUCCAGGGCCGGGAAGCCCCCACCUGACCACCUGAGGGCCCCUGGGAGGCUCCUUUAGCCUGGCUGGGCUGGGUCUGGGGCCGCCACAGGCCCCUCACAGGGCGUCAGAGGCAACUUCAGCGUCCCUGUUAGAGCAACACGGGUCCCUCCGUGGGGGGCUGGGUGCAGCCCCCUGCCGUGUAUUUCCUCCCCAGGGAGUGGGGCCUCCCCAGGAGCUGGCGCCACCACCCUGCUUAGCCCUCACAGGGCCCCAAGGCGUCCCGAGUGUGUUGGGUCUGAACGCGCGAAAUAAAGAAAUCCUCUCAGCCCGCCUUUGCCAGCGUCGUCCCUCCCACCGCACCCAGACCACGUCCAACAGCCUGGGACUUUCAGGACCCUGGGGUUGGGGAACCGUGUGGAGUGAGACAGGUGUGAAAGACAGUGGCUGAGGCCACCCAGGGCACCAGCCACAUCCUCUUCCUCAUCCCCGCCCCUCAGCCUCCCUCCUGGGGGCCUCUGGCUCCUGGCUGGUGGGUCUGGGGGACAAGGCAGAGGCGCUCCAGGUGGAGGGGGGCGGGGCCGGGGUGCCCACGCUGCAGUGAUGCAAGAAGAAGAUUCCCGGGCUUCAGAGUCGGCGCCGGAAACUCAGGUCUGGGUUUCCCUCACGGUGGUUCUGUACUGAGGACCUGGAAGUGAUCAUAUUUUGGAUAUAUUCGGUUAAAUAAAAUCAGCGGUUAGGAUUCAC
rnacentral:sRNA from 1 species